GAGUCGACCCCUCACCUUGAGUGCGCGUCCUAACUUGUAGUACAUGGUGUAAAUGGGAUUUGUUUUGGGUACCCAGAAAGCAAACGAACGUGACCGCAACGUCUUGUUGUCUCUCUUUGACAGUUAUGGGGUAUCCCAGUCAUGUGUUUAUACUUUUAUGUGUAAAUACGUACGACACAGAGACUAGAUACCAAACUAGGCGUACCGCUGUAUCAUUUCUUUAAACCAGAGGAAGGUUGCGGCAAUAACAGGUCUGCGAUGCCCUUAGAUGUUCUGGGCUGCACACGUGCUACAAUGAUCAGCACAGUAAGCAUCUCAAUUUUUACAACACCGUCAACACACGUAGUGAGCUGCUUGAUCUCUCAUUCAUGCAUUCUGUGCUUCGGUGCAGUGUGCAAUGUGAGUUGUCUAAUGCGCGCGGUUAUGCCUGUACCGAGAGGUGACGUCGGGUAAACAUUCUCUAAUGCUGACCUAUUUUUCUGAAAUAUGCACAACUCUAAUAUGACAUUCAUUCCCGGGAGGACUAGUUGCCUCUUUGUGUGAGUGUAAUGCAAACAUGAAUAGCGACUGUCGCUGUUUACUCAUAUGUGCCCCUGUCAAUUCGUGGUGGGGACAGACCAUUGCUAAUUGUUGGUCUCGCUUAUAACUAGGAAUGCCUUGUACGGGUCUUUGGUUCAACAAACCACCCUGAAUACGUCCCUGCCCUUUGUACACACCGCCCGUCGCUCUUACCGAUGAACUCGUUUGUGAGUUUUAAGGACUGGAUUAAGCUAUAUGCGUAACCUAUGGAAAUUCAUGCGAAUGAACUGGUUUAAAGGAAAGAGAAG
rnacentral:rRNA from 1 species